AUUGAACGCUGGCGGCAGGCCUAACACAUGCAAGUCGAGCGAGUGGCGGACGGGUGAGUAAUGUCUGGGAAACUGCCUGAUGGAGGGGGAUAACUUCUGGAAACGGUAGCUAAUAUCGCAUACCAUCAGAUGUGCCCAGAUGGGAUUAGCUAGUAGGUGGGGUAACGGCUCACCUAGGGGACGAUCCCUAGCUGGUCUGAGAGGAUGACCAGCCACACUGAAAAUGAGACACGGUCCAGACUCCUACGGGAGGCAGCAGUGGGGAAUAUUGCACAAUAGGCGCAAGCCUGAUGCAGCCAUGCCGCGUGUGUGAAGAAGGCCUUCGGGUUGUAGAGCACUUUCAGCGGGGAAGCGUUACCCGCAGAAGAAGCACCGGCUAACUCCGUGCCAGCAGCCGCGAUAAUAC
rnacentral:rRNA from 1 species